CGCGCUCGGACCGCACGCCGCGGCCGCCCCAGCCCGUUCAGGAGGAACUUGGAAGAGAAACCUGCAAUGAAAGCCUGGGAGCUGACAGAAGCUGGUUUGCAACAGCUGUGGACAACUUCUUCCUCCAGCAGCAACAGUGAGAACAAGGAGUGUUUUCUACAUCAGGAAGCUCCACGGCCGUAAUAAUAAUGGUUCAUCUGGCAAAUCCUCCAGUGACAGCGACUAAUAAAUGUUUUG
rnacentral:lncRNA from 1 species